UCCUCUUUUAACCGCCUCUACAACCCUUAUCCGACCCCUCUAGACUAUAUCCACCCUUUGUAUAGCCUAAUGUCAUCAAAAGACUAGAUAGGGAUGGAUAUUUACCUUUUUCUUUUUGGAAAUCGAGGUCCUUGCGUAGAGGGGAAGGAGAUCUACGUUUUUUCCUUCAGCUGGAAGUGCAACCGGGAUCCCUCUCCUCCUCGAAUCCCCUUCCUCUUCUUCUUUCUUCUUCUUCUUCUUCUCUUUUUUUUCUUUCUCUCUGUGUUUCCACGCCUGAGACCUCCUCUC
rnacentral:lncRNA from 1 species